UAGGAAGAGGAUAACAGCUAGAAACAGUUGCUAAAACUCUAUGGCCCAAUCAGGUGAAGACCAAACGGGUGAAAAAAGUAAUUUGCCUAAAGGAAGCUCGCGUCUGAUUAGCUAGUUGGUGGGGUAAAGGCCUACCAAGGCACGAUCAGUAGCUGGUCUGAGAGGACGAUCAGCCACACUGGAACUGAGAACGGUCCAGACUCCUACGGGAGGCAGCAGUGAGGAAUUUUCUGCAAUGGCGAAAGUCUGACAGAGCAAUACCGCGUGAGGGAUGGAGGCCUACGGGUUUAAACCUCUUUUAUCAAGGAGGAAGACAUGACGUUACUUGAUGAAUAAGCUCGGCUAACCCUGUGCCAGCAGCCGCGGUAAUACAGGGGAUGCAAGUGUAUCCGGAAUUAUUGGGCGUAAAGCGUCUGCAGGUUGAUAUAUAAGUCUUUGUUAAACCUCUGGGCUCAACCCGGAAUCUGCAAAGGAAACUAUUUAUCUGAGU
rnacentral:rRNA from 1 species